AACCAUCAUGUUGUUGUAGACAAAAUGUACACUUGAUAUCCAUAAUUUAUGGUACAAAUUGAUACAAAUUGAUAAUAGGUUAGGUAAAUGUUUCAUGAUAAUAGGUUAGGUAAAUGUUUCAUGAUAAUAGGUUAGGUAAAUGUUCCAUGACAAUGGGUUAGGUAAAUGUUUCAUGAUAAUGGGUUAGGUAAAUGUUUCAUGAUAAGAAUAUCAUGUCUUUUGUAUUAAAGAAUUAAAUGGAUGAAAUAUGAAGUUUUAUUAAAAGAAAAAGGGAUGAAAAGAACAAAGUUUUGUCCAUCUUUGUUCAUCAUAGCUGAAAGUUAGAGAAGAGAAAGGAGAGGAGAAAGCUCUUGAGUAUUCGGUCAUUAGGAGGAGGAAAAUUGAAGGAAAUCCCCAACCAUAGUGGGCUUGGAGCUGUGAGGGAAUUCGGAGUGGCCACCCGUUCUGAAAGUUUGAUUUUCUUCUGGUGAACUGGACAUCCUUUUAUUUACGUUUGAAUUUUUUGGGCUUUUAAAUGUAAUAAGGCCGCUUAAUUAUUUUUGAUGGUUUUAAUAUGUAUUACUAAGAUAGGUAAUACUUAUUUUAACUGUUGAAAUUGGAUAGCUUUAGGGCGCGUUUUCAAAAACAACAA